rnacentral:lncRNA from 1 species
AGUGGAUGUGUCGUCUGACCGUAGGUUCUCUGGUCGAGCAAGUCUCCUGCGCUAUGGGAAGCUGAGGAGGUGCUUUCUUUCUUUCUGUCUCUGUCUCUCUUUCUUUACGUCUCUGUCUCUGUUGAGGUGCUUGCUUGCUUGCUUGCUUACUUUCUGUCUGUCUGUCUCUUUCUCUUUUUCUUUCUCUUUCUCUCUUUCCUUUCUUUCUCACUGUGUCGCCCAGGCUGGAGUGCAGUGGCGCAAUCUCAGCUCACUGCAACCUCCGCCUCGCGGGUUCAGGCGAUUCUCCUGCCUCAGGCUCCCAAGUAGCUGGGACUACAGGCGCGCGCCACCAAACCUGGCUAAUUUUUGUAUUUUUAGUAGAGACAGGGUUUCACUAUGUUGGCCAGGCUGGUCUCGAACUCUUGAGCUCAGGUGAUCCGCCCGCCUUGGCGUCCCAAAGUGCUGGGAUUACAGUCGUGAGCCACCGCGCCCGGCCAUCGAGGUGCUUUCAAUAAGUGCUUUUCGCGUAAGGUUGGACCGUGUGAGAGACCUUCCGAGCACUGCCUGAGCCUGCCAGGAGUUUACAGUCCAAUUGGAGAGAAAACAGCCCGGGAGAAUUAGAAAACAUCCAAAUGGUGCAACAGCGUGAUGAGACCACCAGUGGUGUGGGUCGUUAGGAAGUGGCUUCCUUUCUGACCUUGACUUUGCUGACAGGAUUUGACAUGGUCUCCUUGAAUUCUACCUCCUGGUUUUCUUAACUUGGACACCUUGAAGUGACUAUCUUUUCGCUACCUUUUGCUUUGACUGGCCAAAGCUCCUAAUACGCACUUCAGUCAACAAAGACUAAAGCUGGAUUACUUGGUAUCAUUUCUCUCUCUUUUUUUUUUUUUUUUUUUUUUUUCAAAAUAAUCCUUCUCUCCCAUUAGGGAAAGAUGAAUGAAGGAUAUACUGGAACUCUUUGUAGUAUCCUCGAAAUUCUUUAAAUGGAAAGUCAUUCCAAAAUAAAAACUUGAAUUUAUUGGAGGAUGGCUGUAAUAAAAAAGACAAAUAAUAAUAAGUUUAGGGGAAGAUGUGAAGAAAUUGGAACCCUCAUAUACUGCUGGUGGGAAUGUAAAAUGGUGCAGCCACUUUGGGAAAUAGCUGCAGUUGCUCAAAAGGUUAAAGAUGUGCCGUCUGCAGUGGCUCAUGCCUGUAAUCCCAGCACUUUGGGAGGCUGAGGCAGGCAGAUCACCUGAGGUCAGGAGUUCCAGACUAGCCUGGCCAACAUGGUGAAAACCCGUCUUUACUAAAGAUACAAAAAUU